rnacentral:antisense_RNA from 1 species
UAAAUCAUUUUCAAAGAAUUCUCUUUUUAAAUGAUGAUUAUUAACUUCAUUAAUACAAGAAUAUUUUGAACCAAGUGCUAAUAUACGAUACCCUUUUUUAGUACAUUCAUGUACAACAUUUUUGUAUAAAUUUUGAUCAAAUUCUGGAUCUUUUUUAAAGAAUUGAAGCAUCAUUUCUGGACUUCCUUUAGAAAUGACAAGACCAUAAGUUUUUGGAUCAGGUUUUGAAAGACUUUUAUGAAAUUUUACAGAAUGAGACGGAGAUAGAGAUUGAGAUGAAGAUGAAGAAGUUUGAGAUUUACUUGAUGAUGAAUUUUGUUUUUCUGAAGGAAUAUGCAAAAUUCCAAUAUUGGUCAUUCUUUGUUCUUCUGGUGAAAAAGGAUAUCUUCUAACUAUUGAAAAUGUUGAAUUAUCUUUAAUGUUAUGAUAAUUAUUUUCAGAUGAGUGAUGAAUUCUCCAGGAUGAUUUCUUUUUGAUGGAUUUUUCCAUAGGAUCUCCAACCAAGGUCUUUCCAUUAAGUGAAAGUCCAUUACAACAUCCCAUAAUAAGAUCAGAUAAAUAUGGUAUAUCAACAGAAGAAUUGGAUAUUGGUUCUGAUCCCAACACUUGCCUUGAUCCCGAUACUGAUGCUAACUUUUUAUUGUUCAUCUCAUCCUUAUCUUCAUUGUUAUUACUAUACUUAUCAUUAUCAUCAAAAGUAAUACAAGAAGUAUCAUCAUUAUUAUACAAGUUAAUUCCAAAUAAUCCAUGUGGUAUCAUUUUAUCACUAGUUAAAGUACCAGUUUUAUCAAAAGCACAUAUUCUAAGUUUACCAGCAAAUGGAAUUCUAAAUGGUUCAGUACAAUAAAUCUUUUUUUUGGUUAAUUGAACAACUGCCAUAGUUACAGCAACAGAAAGUGUGAUGGGGAAUUCUGGAGGAAUAACUGAAGUUAUAAUGUGAAUGCAGGAGAUAAUUAAUUUGAAUUUAUUUCUGGAAGGAUCAUUAAUUCCAUAAUAAAGUACAUAAGAAGAUGCUAUUAAUGAGCAAAAAAUUAACAUCAUUAAGAAAAUUAGUGAUUCAAGACUGUUAGAUGAGAUCUUUUCAGCUGAUGAUGAAAUUGUACGGAUUAAUUUUCCUUGAUAAGUAUUAAAUCCAGUUCUAAGAACAUAUCCAAUACAAAUCAUUUUAUCAUUAUCAUAUUUAAUGUAAGAAGAAGUGAC